AGAGUGAAGUUGCAGCCAAGGAUGACUUGCCGGACCAUAAAUUGCAAGGAUUUUCUAAUUCCGGCAAGUUGUUCUUGGCUAUAGUUUGCUCUCU
rfam:Solanum tuberosum cultivar DM 1-3 516 R44 scf00684_8, whole genome shotgun sequence.